CAUGAGAAAUAAAAAGGGGCAGAAACCAUCCUACCCAAAGACCCUCAUCUGAUUGCUCAGGUGUGCAGUCGGGGGAGUCGGGUCUCGCAGGCGCUUUAAAGAAGCGCCCAGGUGACUCCAAUGUGUAUAUAACAGGGCUUAUCAAACCUGGACGUACAUCCAGAUCCCCUCCCCCAGCCAAGCCAGGCUAAGCCAAGCCACCAGGCCACAGAGGCUCUGGACUGUCGCAUCCACCCCGGGGUGCCAGGAUAUCUCAAGAACAGGGCCAUGUUCUUCUGAGAGGCAGAAACUCAGCUCUGAAACUCAAGACAAUAGAAAUCCGAAGACAGGGCUCCUCCCCUGAUCUGAAGAGAACUCACAGUCCCAGCCUGCCAUUCCAGGUGACUGCAGCCUGCCAACAUCUGCCUUCUGACCUGCAGAGGCCAUGCCUCCCGGAUCUUCAGUCAGGUGAUCAAUAGGAACUGAACUCAGCCUGGACUACUUCUUCAGGAGCCUCCCGCCUGCUCCCACCCCAGUCCCUUCCCAGUCCAUUCGCUCUGGGAAUGAGCCGCAAGACAGGUCCUCAGACCUCUCC